ACUACUGUUUCCUGUAGUGUU
rnacentral:misc_RNA from 1 species